rnacentral:rRNA from 1 species
UACGUAGGGUGCAAGCGUUGUCCGGAAUUAUUGGGCGUAAAGAGCUCGUAGGCGGUCUGUCGCGUCGGAUGUGAAAAUCCAGGGCCCAACCCUGGACCUGCAUUCGAUACGGGCAGACUAGAGUUCGGUAGGGGAGACUGGAAUUCCUGGUGUAGCGGUGAAAUGCGCAGAUAUCAGGAGGAACACCGGUGGCGAAGGCGGGUCUCUGGGCCGAUAUUGACGCUGAGGAGCGAAAGCGUGGGGAGCGAACAGG